rnacentral:rRNA from 1 species
GGGCCCGCACAAGCGGUGGAGUAUGUGGUUUAAUUCGAAGCAACGCGCAGAACCUUACCAGCCCUUGACAUCCCGAUCGCGGUUUGUGGAGACACAUUCCUUCAGUUAGGCUGGAUCGGUGACAGGUGCUGCAUGGCUGUCGUCAGCUCGUGUCGUGAGAUGUUGGGUUAAGUCCCGCAACGAGCGCAACCCUCGCCCUUAGUUGCCAUCAUUCAGUUGGGCACUCUAAGGGGACUGCCGGUGAUAAGCCGAGAGGAAGGUGGGGAUGACGUCAAGUCCUCAUGGCCCUUACGGGCUGGGCUACACACGUGCUACAAUGGCAAGUACAACGAGUCGCAAUACCGCGAGGUGGAG